rnacentral:rRNA from 1 species
UAGAGUUUGAUCCUGGCUCAGGAUGAACGCUAGCGGCAGGCUUAACACAUGCAAGUCGAGGGGCAGCACGGGUAGCAAUACUUGGUGGCGACCGGCGCAAGGGUGCGUAACGCGUGAGCAACAUGCCCGUAUCAGGGGGAUAAUCCAUGGAAACGUGGUCUAAUACCCCAUAGUAAAUUUUUGGGGCAUCUCAAAGAUUUUAAAGCUUUGGUGGAUACGGAUUGGCUCGCGUGACAUUAGCUAGAUGGUAAGGUAACGGCUUACCAUGGCUACGAUGUCUAGGGGUUCUGAGAGGAAGGUCCCCCACACUGGAACUGAGACACGGUCCAGACUCCUACGGGAGGCAGCAGUGAGGAAUAUUGGACAAUGGAUGGAAAUCUGAUCCAGCCAUGCCGCGUGCAGGAAGAAUGUCCUAUGGAUUGUAAACUGCUUUUGUAUGGGAGCAAUAAGGUAUUCGUGAAUACCGAUGAGAGUACCAUACGAAUAAGCACCGGCUAACUCCGUGCCAGCAGCCGCGGUAAUUACCGCGGCUGCUGGCAGAGGGGUGCGAACGGUUUGCGCUGUGCCACCUGAGCCAGGAUCAAACUCU